GACGAACGCUGGCGGCGUGCUUAACACAUGCAAGUCGAACGGUGAAGCGGAGCUUGCUCCGUGGAUCAGUGGCGAACGGGUGAGUAACACGUGAGCAACCUACCCUUGACUCUGGGAUAACAGUUGGAAACAGCUGCUAAUACCGGAUAUGACCCCGGCGGACAUCCGCUGGGGUGGAAAGCUCCGACGGUCAAGGAUGGGCUCGCGGCCUAUCAGCUUGUUGGAGAGGUAACGGCCCACCAAGGCGACGACGGGUAGCCGGCCUGAGAGGGCGACCGGCCACACUGGGACUGAGAUACGGCCCAGACUCCUACGGGAGGCAGCAGUGGGGAAUAUUGCGCAAUGGGCGAAAGCCUGACGCAGCAACGCCGCGUGCGGGAUGAAGGCCUUCGGGUUGUAAACCGCUUUCAGCAGGGACGAAGGAUUUCUGACGGUACCUGCAGAAGAAGCACCGGCUAACUACGUGCCAGCAGCCGCGG
rnacentral:rRNA from 1 species